CCAGAGAGCAGCGAUUGGUCAGACCAAAGAUAGAAGCCAGCGCUAGCGUGUCUAGUCUAUGUAUAGCUAUGGUCGGCACGUCUAGUAGCAUCUCUGGCUCCUGUUGAUCUUGUUUUUGAAGUAAAACACGGUGGAAGCUGAAUUAGUGAGGAUGACUCCUGCUCCUGUCAUCUCUAAGCUCCUCACACAUCUUUACCUGCACAUGAGGAAAAUCACUCCUGUAGAAUGCAGUGGUUCAUCAGAACCUCUGGGGAUGUCCUGUGGAUUCUGUGGGUCCUGUGGGUUGCAGGGUGGGUCCUACCUAGACCAGGCUGAUCCUGGACCAUCCCACAGAUGCUCCAUCAGAUCUGGAUGUGGGGAGUGUGGAACCCAGAUGUUCAGAGGGAGAUGAUGCCACAUCUGGUCCAGCUGAUGGAAGGUCUUGAAGUUCUCUGACUGGCCUCGACUGAAGAUGGUCGUCUCACUGGAUUUAAGUUUCUUUUUUCGCGUUUCAGGCUUCACUUCACUCGUGGGCUUCCGUAGCGCGCCCCGCGCAUUGCACAGUAAGAGACGACAUGGCUGCCCCCGCGAGUAGAAAACAACUCUGUUCAAAGAAAGGAAAUUGGAAUUCUGUCAUUUGGAACUGGUUCGGAUUUGAUCCAAGCGACGAUCAACAGACCAAGCUGUGCUGCAAAACUUGUUUUAAGACUGUAGCAACUGGAAGUAGCAGCAAGACAAACUUGUUUCAGCACUUAAAAAACAAGCACCCAGAUGAGUGGGAGAAGAGCAAGCGGCUUCGACACGAAGACGGCACCCCGAGCACAGCUCCGCCAAAACAGACAACACUUGUUGAGAGAUUCGCCAACUGUGUACCGUAUGACAAGAGUGGAGCCCGCUUUAAGGCAAUUACAGAGGCCAUCACUUUGUACAUUGCCACAGACAUGCUUCCCAUUUAUUCCGUGGAAAAGCGAGGCUUCAAUCAGUUGCUGAAUGUUUUGGAUGCGAUAUACACCAUACCCAGUCGAAGAUAUUUCGCUGAUGUGGCGCUGCCUCAAUUGUAUAGUAGUACUCGUCAAAAGAUCCACAAAGAGUUGGAAGAGGUGGCUUUAAGCAUUUUUUUGUCUUGCACUUUUUUUGAUGCACAAUGAGGGACGUCUGCAGCGACUGAGAAAGAGUCUCACCACAUCCUGACAUGAGGAAAAACACUUUAUUGAAAACUACAAUGAGAAAAACUAUCAGACAGCAGACGGCUGCAUUCAAGGUGAGCUCUGAACAUUUGAUCUGGAACAGGAAUUCAAUAACGGCAGCAUGAGCUUCAUUUCAGUCUGUAGCUGCUGAAUUCAUGGAUGAAUCAUCUGGCACUAGAGAGGAAGACCAUCAAACAUCCAUGUCAGCUGAUGGAGGUCCAAGAGUCUCACCGAACAAACAACCUACAGAGUGAAGACCUCGAACCUGAUUGGACAGCCUCCUAUUCAGCCACAUUUUAGACUGUUAGAUUGUUCCAGAUAAGACAAGUACAAGAUUCUUCAGAGCCGUUCUACCACGAGCCUGACAGGAAGAACUCCAACAGCUACUGAAUGUUCCUGUGGUCCCCUCAAGGCUACAGGAGGAGUCCUACGAGGACGAGCCGGUCCACCUGAUGGUGGCCAGUCGCUGCG
ensembl:lncRNA